CUUUGUUCUUCCCAACAACUUGUCCUUUAUGGCUUCUCCCAACGUAUUACUGUGUGUAUGUGGAUAGUAAGAAUUAUGAAAAGGCUAAGCACGACUUGGUAGCUGAUCCGGAACUUACUCUUGCGCAUACUAAAUUUCGAAAAUCAGAGGCUGAGAAAAAUUAAGAUACAGACAUGAAUCGAAGCCCAAAAUAUUAGGUAUCCGAAGAAACCUGAUGACCCCAUAUAAAUUUUUAAUCAGCUGAUUAUACUUUACUAUCAUACUAUGAAAACCUUAUCAAAAAGUUAUACAUAUUUACGUUAUAAUUGCGUACAUAUUUCGCCAAGACGCAACUCAUAAGAAAAGAC